CACGCUGUAAACGAUGUGCACUAGAUGUAGGGGGUGUUGAUCCCCUCUGUGUCGCAGCUAACGCAUUAAGUGCACCGCCUGGGGAGUACGGUCGCAAGAUUAAAACUCAAAGGAAUUGACGGGGGCCCGCACAAGCGGUGGAGUAUGUGGUUUAAUUCGAUGCAACGCGAAGAACCUUACCUGGUCUUGACAUCCCGGAGACCCUUGGGAAACUAGGGGGUGCUUCCAUUAGGAAGAAUCUGGAGACAGGUGC
rnacentral:rRNA from 1 species